rnacentral:rRNA from 2 species
GUGGGUAGUUUGACUGGGGCGGUCUCCUCCUAAAGAGUAACGGAGGAGCACGAAGGUUAGCUAAUCCUGGUCGGACAUCAGGAGGUUAGUGCAAAGGCAUAAGCUAGCUUGACUGCGAGCGUGACGGCGCGAGCAGGUGCGAAAGCAGGUCUUAGUGAUCCGGUGGUUCUGAAUGGAAGGGCCAUCGCUCAACGGAUAAAAGGUACUCCGGGGAUAACAGGCUGAUACCGCCCAAGAGUUCAUAUCGACGGCGGUGUUUGGCACCUCGAUGUCGGCUCAUCACAUCCUGGGGCUGAAGUAGGUCCCAAGGGUAUGGCUGUUCGCCAUUUAAAGUGGUACGCGAGCUGGGUUUAGAACGUCGUGAGACAGUUCGGUCCCUAUCUGCCGUGGGCGCUGGAGAAUUGAGGGGGGCUGCUCCUAGUACGAGAGGACCGGAGUGGACGCAUCACUGGUGUUCGGGUUGUCAUGCCAAUGGCACUGCCCGGUAGCUAAAUGCGGAAGAGAUAAGUGCUGAAAGCAUCUAAGCACGAAACUUGCC